GAACCUGCGGAGGGAUCAUUAC
rnacentral:rRNA from 5 species